GCUGUAGGUGAACCUGCAGCAGCUGGAUCAUUUUCCGAUGAGAUUAUGUAUCACACAUAUUUUUAUAUGUACCGCGGGGUGGAAUAAUAUAUUUUAUGUAUGUAUAUAUACAUAUGUAUAUUUCCUCCUUCGCACAGAUGUAUUACAUAUUGCAUUUUGUCUGUUGUUGUGUGUGGGUGUAUAUCUCUCAUGCACAGCCUCAGACAGUGCAAUAACAAAAAAAACUCAUGCCGCUUGACUCUCUUCACAUAAUAAUUAAUUAUUAUAUGGUGAUUGUUGAGAACGGCCCCAACAACGUGUCGCGAUGGAUGACUUGGCUUCCUAUUUCGUUGAAGAACGCAGCAAAGUGCGAUAAGUGGUAUCAAUUGCAGAAUCAUUCAAUUACCGAAUCUUUGAACGCAAACGGCGCAUGGGAGAAGCUCCUCGGAGUCAUCCCCGUGCAUGCCAUAUUUCUCAGUGUCGAACAACAAAAAACCACCAUACAAACAUGUUAUUGUGUAUGUGUGUGUGGGAAUUUUAAACAGAGAGCCCUUGGGGAUACGGAUGAAACACACUCUCCGGCACGCGUUUACUCGCAUGCAGAAAGAGAGGGCUACACUAUUUUUUUAGUGUGGUAUUUUUGUGUAUGAUCCGCUCCGGCGCUUGUGUGUGUGUGCGUGUGCUCCUUCCUCUCUCACUUUGUACUCAUAUGUAUAUGUGUGUGUAAAUUGAGAAAAAGGGGGAAUCAUACCACAUACAUGUCUGUACAACAACAACCAAAAACACCAACGAGAGAAAAAGAUAAGAAAAGGAUUGGGGCUUAGGUCUCUCUUCUUUUUUUUCUUUUCCUACGCCAUGUGUGUAUGGUAUAUAAAAAUUAUACUGUGGGUGCGUGUUACGCGUAUCUGCAAUCUUUGUUCACAGACCUGAGUGUUUGGCAGGACUACCCGC
rnacentral:misc_RNA from 1 species